UACGAAGGGGGCUAGCGUUGUUCGGAAUCACUGGGCGUAAAGGGCGCGUAGGCGGCUUUGUAAGUCGGGGGUGAAAGCCUGUGGCUCAACCACAGAAUUGCCUUCGAUACUGCAUGGCUUGAGACCGGAAGAGGUAAGUGGAACUGCGAGUGUAGAGGUGAAAUUCGUAGAUAUUCGCAAGAACACCGGAGGCGAAGGCGGCUUGCUGGGCUUGGUCUGACGCUGAGGCGCGAAAGCGUGGGGAGCGAACAGG
rnacentral:rRNA from 1 species